rnacentral:rRNA from 1 species
CCCGCUGAACUUAAGCAUAUCAAUAAGCGGAGGAAAAGAAACUAACAAGGAUUCCCCUAGUAACUGCGAGUGAAGCGGGAAGAGCUCAAAUUUGAAAUCUGGCGGGUACCCCGUCCGAGUUGUAAUCUGGAGAAGCGUUUUCCGCGCUGGACCGUGUACAAGUCCCUUGGAACAGGGCGUCAUAGAGGGUGAGAAUCCCGUCUACGACACGGACCGCCAGUGCUGUGCGAUGCGCUCUCGAAGAGUCGAGUUGUUUGGGAAUGCAGCUCAAAACGGGUGGUAAAUUCCAUCUAAAGCUAAAUAUUGGCGAGAGACCGAUAGCGAACAAGUACCGUGAGGGAAAGAUGAAAAGCACUUUGGAAAGAGAGUGAAACAGUACGUGAAAUUGUUGAAAGGGAAACGCUUGAAGUCAGUCGCGCCCGCCGGGACUCAGCCUUGCUUCUGCUUGGUGCACUUCCCGGCUGGGCGGGCCAGCAUCGUUUUCCGCGCCGGACAAACCCGUGAGGAAUGUGGCAGCUCCGGCUGUGUCAUAGCCUCGCGCGGCACAACGGCGCAGGGGAACGAGGAAUCCGGGCGCAAGCCCUGGGAUGCUGGCGUAAUGGCUUUAAGCGACCCGUCUUGAAACACGG